UACGGGGGGGGGCAAGCGUUGUUCGGAAUUACUGGGCGUAAAGGGCUCGUAGGCGGCCAACUAAGUCGGAUGUGAAAUCCCCAAGCUUAACUUGGGAACUGCAUCCGAUACUGGAUGGCUUGAAUCCGGGAGAGGGAUGCAGAAUUCCAGGUGUAGCGGUGAAAUGCGUAGAUAUCUGGAGGAAUACCGGUGGCGAAGGCGGCCAGCUGGGCCGUUGCUGACGCUGAGGCGCGACAGCGUGGGGAGCAAACAGG
rnacentral:rRNA from 1 species